UUUCAGGUUUCUCCUCUUCAAGUGAUGGUUUCUCUUCAAAUGAUAGUUCAUUAGGCGUUUCUUCCUGUGUUGGUUUUUCAUGUGCUUCUUCAGUUACUGGUUUUUCAGGUUUCUCCUUAGUUGUUGGUUCUUCGCUUGUCUCCUCAGCUGAUUGUUCUUCAAGCUUCUCUCCUGUUGUUGAUUUUUCUGGUUUCUCUUCAAUUAUCGGUGGUUCAGGUUUUUUCUCAACCGGUGAUUCUUCUGGUUUCUCCAAAACCAUUGAUUCUUCAUGUUUUUUUUCAACUACUGACUCUUCAGUGUUUUCCUCAACUGAUGCAUAGUCAGCAAUAUCGUUGUUGGUAUUGCUUGGAAUUGCAUUGUCUAUCUUGUCCUUUGAGUUUACUUUUGGCAUAUUCUGCAAUGAAGUUUCACGUAGUCUUUCAAUAGAUAAACAAAUGUAAAUUUGUUGCACAUAUAAAAGCUAAUAUGAUGGAUAAAAUUUGUGCCAGUGUUUAAUCCUCACCUUCUCCUGAAGAGCUUCCGCUUCAAGUUCCUCCUCUUCAAUUGCAGGUUUUUCAUCUUUCUCUCCAACAACUAGUUCUUCAGGUUUCUCUUCAAGUGCCAGUUCUUCAGGUGUUUCCUCCUUUGCCAGCUCUUCAGGUGUUUCCUCCUUUGCCAGCUCUUCAGGUGUUUCUUUAGCUGCCGGUUCUUCAGGUUUCUCUUCAACCUCCGGUUCUUGUGGUAUUUCCUCUACUUGUACUUCAGAUUUCUCCUCAAUUGUUGGUUCUUCAGGUUUCUCUCUAACCGCUGCUGCAUUAGGUUUCUCUUCAUUGGCUGGUUCUUCAGGUUUUUCUUCAACUACCGAUUCUUCAGGAUUUUCCUCAAUGUUUGGAAAGGGAGCGACAUCAUUAUUGGUAUUGCAUGGAAUUUCACUGCCAGUUUUGUCAUUCAAGUCCACAACUAGUAUAUUCUGCAAAAGAGUUUAAUGUUUCACUUAGUCUUUCAAUAAAGAAGCAGAUGCGAAUCAUUACAUAUACAUAACUAAUAACAUGGAUAAACUUUAUGACAGUAGUUGACCCUUACCUUUUCCACAAGAGUUACUUUUGCAGGUUUCUCCUCUUCAAGUGCUGGUUUCUCUUCAAAUGAUAGUUCAUUAGGUGUUUCUUCCCGUGUUGGUUCUUCAUGUGCUUCUUCAGUUACUGGUUUUUCAGGUUUCUCCUCAAUUGUUGGUUCUUCGCUUGUCUUCUCAACUGAUGGUUCCUCAUGCUUCUCUCCCGUUGUUGAUUUUUCGGGUUUCUCUUCAGUUGUCGAUGGUUCAGUUUUUUUCUCAACCGCUGGUUCUUUUGGCUUCUCCAAAACCAUUUCCGAUUUCUCUUCAGUUGGUGGUUCUUCAUGGUUUUUUUCAACUACUGGUUCUUCUCUUUUUUCCUCAACUGAUGCAUAGUCAGCAAUAUCGUUGUUGGUAUUGCUUGGAAUUGCAUUGUCUGUCUUGUCCUUUGAGCUUACAAUUGGCAUAUUCUGCUAGAAAAAUAUAAAGUUUCAUGUAGUCUUUCAACAGAGAAACCAAUGUAAAUUUGUUGCACAUAUAAAGCUAACAAAUAUGAUGGAUAGACUUUGCGAGAGUGUUUAAUACUCACCUUCUCCGGAAGAGCUUCCGUUUCAGGUUCCUCUUCAAUUUCUGCUUUUUCAUCUUUCUCUUCAACAACUAGUUCUUCAGGUGUCUCUUCAACCGUUGAUUCUUCAGGUUUCUCUUCAAGUGUUAGUUCUUGAGGUGUUUCCUCCUUUGCUAGCUCUUCAGGUGUUUCUGUAACUGCCGGUUCUUCAGGUUCCUCUUCAGCCACCGGCUGUUGACGUAUCUCCUCUACUUGUACUUCAGAUUUCUCCUCAAUUGUUGGUUCUUCAGGUUUCUCCUUAACCGCUGGUACAUCAGGUUUAUCCUCAUUGACUGGUUCUUCAACUGCUGAUUCUUCUAGAUUUUCCUCAAUGUCUGGAAAGCGAGCAACAUCAUUAUUGGUAUUGCAUGGAAUUUCAUUUCCAGUUUCGUUAUUCGAGUCUACAAUUAGCAUAUUCUGCAAAAAGAAUUUAAUGUUUCAUUUAGCCUUUCAAUAAAGAAGCAUAUGCGAAUAACAGUACAUGCAUAACUAACAAAAUGGAUAAACUUUGUGAUAGUGCUUGAUCCUUACCUUUGCCAAAAGAGUUACCUUUUCAGGUUUCUCCUCUUCAACGGUUGGUUCUUCAUGUUUCUUUUCAAAUGCUAGUUCCUUGGUUGUUUCUUCCGGUGUUGGUUCCAUAGGUGUUUCUUCAGUUACUUGUUUUUCGGGUUUCUCUUCAAUUAUUGGUUCUUCGAUUGUCUUCUCAACUGAUGGUUCUUCAAGAUUUUCUCCCACUGUUGGUUUUUGGGGUUUCUCUUCUAUUGUUGGUUGUUCAGGAAUUUUCUCAACUGGUGGUUCUGCUGGAUAUUCCAAAACCAUUGAUUCUUCAGAUUUCUCUUCAAUUGAUGGUUCUUCAUGGGUUUUUUCAACUACUGGUUCUUCAAUUUUUUCCUCAACAGAUGCAUAGUCAACAAUAUCAUUAUUGGUAUUGCUUGGAAUUGCAUCGUCUGUCAUGUCCUUUGAGUUUACUUUUGGCAUAUUCUGCAAUAGAGUUUCAUGUAAUCUUUCAACAGAUAAACAGAUGUAAAUUUGUUGCACAUAUAAAGCUAAUAUGGUGGAUAAACUUUGUGACAGUGUUUAAUCCUCACCUUCUCCUGAAGAUCUUCCGCUUCAAGUUCCUCCUCUACAAUUGCAGUUUUUUCCUCUUCCCCUUCAACAACUAGUUCUUCAGGUGCCUCUUCAGCCGUUGAUUCUUCAGGUUUCUCUUCAAGUGCUAGUUCUUCAGGUGUUUCCUCCUUUGCCAGCUCUUCAGGUGUUUCUUUAGAUGCCGAUUCUUCAGGUUUCUCUUCAGCCAUCGGUUCUUGAGGUAUUUCCUCUACUUGUACUUCAUAUUUCUCCUCAAUUGUUUGUUCUUCAGGUUUCUCUUCAGGUUUCUCCUUAACCACUGGUACAUCAGGUUUCUCUUGAUUAACUGGUUCUUUGGGUUUUUCUUCAACAGCCGAAUCUUCAGGAUUUUCCUCAAUGUCUUGAAAGCAAGCAAUAUCUUUAGUGGUAUUGCAUGGAAUUUCACUGCCAGUUUUGUUGUUCGAGUCUACAAUUAGCAUAUUCUGCAAAAGGAAUUUGAUGUUUCAUUUAGCCUUUUAAUAAAGAAGCAGAUGUGAAUAACAUUACAUGCAUAACUUACAAAAUGGAUAAAUUUUGUGACAGUCCUUGACCCUUACCUUUUCAGGUUUCUCCUCUUCAACAGCUGAUUCUUCAUGUUUCUCUUCAAAUGCUAGUUCUCUGGGUGUUUCUUCCCGUAGUGCUUCUUCAUGUGCUUCUUCAGUUACUGGUUUUUCAGGUUUCUCCUCAAUUGUUGGUUCUUUGAUUGUCUCCUCAACAGAUGGUUCUUCAAGCUUCUCUCCCGUUGUUGAUUUUUCUGGUUUCUCUUCAAUUGCUGGUUGUUCAGGAAUUUUCUCAACAGCUGGUUCUUCUGGCUUCUCUAAAACCAUUGAUUCUUCAGCUUUCUCUUCAAUUGAUGGUUCUUCAUGGUUUUUUUCAACUAUUGGUUCUUCAGUUUUUUCCUCAACGGAUGCAUAGUCAACAAUAUCAUUGUUGGUAUUGCUUGGAAUUGCAUCGUCUGUCAUGUCCUUUGAGUUUACUUUUGGCAUAUUCUACAAUAAAGUUUCAUGUAGUCUUUCAAUAGAUAAACAGAUGUAAAUUUGUUGCAACAUAUAAAGCUAAUAUGGUGGAUAAACUUUGUGACAGUGUUUAAUCCUCACCUUCUCCCGAAGAUCUUCCGCUUUAAGUUCCUCCUCUUCAAUUGCUGUUUUUUCAUCUUUCGUUUCAACAACUAGUUCUUCAGGUGCCUCUUCAGCCGUUGAUUCUUCAGGUUUUUCUUCAAGUGCCAGCUCUUCAGGUGUUUCCUCCUUUGCCAUCUCUUCAGGUGUUUCCUCCUUUGCCAGCUCUUCAGGUGUUUCUUUAGCUGCUGGUUCUUCAGGUUUCUCUUCAGCCGCCAGUUCUUGAGGUAUCUCCUUUUCUACUUCAGAUUUCUCCUCAACUGUUGGUUCUUCAGGUUUCUCUUCAUUAACUGGUUCUUUGGGUUUUUCUUCAACAGCCGAAUCUUCAGGAUUUUCCUCAAUGUCUGGAAAGUGAGCAACAUCUUUAUUGGUAUUGCAUGCAAUUUCACUGUCAGUUUUGUCGUUCAAGUCUACAAUUAGCAUAUUCUGCAAAAAGAAUUUGAUGUUUCAUUUAGCCUAUUAAUAAAGAAGCAGAUGUGAAUAACAUUACAUGCAUAACUUACAAAAUGGAUAAACUUUGUGAUGGUCCUUGACCCUUACCUUUCCAGGCUUCUCCUCUUCAACGGCCAGUUCUUGUUUCUCUUCAAAUGCUAGUUCCCUGGGUGUUUCUUCCUGUAUUGGUUCUUCAUGUGCUUCUUCAGGUACUGGUUUUUCAGGUUUCUCCUCAAUUGUUGGUUCUUCGAUUGUCUCCUCAACAGAUGGUUCUUCAAGGUUCUCUCCCGUUGUUGAGUCUUCUGGUUUCUCUUCAAUUGCUGGUUGUUCAGAAAUUUUCUCAACAGCUGGUUCUUCUGGCUUCUCCAA
rnacentral:lncRNA from 1 species